UAUCUUAAGAGCAGUUCCACUUACACAGAACAUAUGUGAUCCAUAUUGAACACUGUCCUUGAUCUCCAUUGCUCACCUCCCAGAAGAGUGGACUAGUCAGUACACAUGGUUAAAAAGUAGCUCUCAUUACACACUGAUGCACUUGAAGGAGCAAAGAUGGGAGCUUCAGCCUACUAAGAAGUUUAUCUUGCACCAGGACUAGAACACGUCAGAAAUUUUGCCUUUAAAUUUAUGUUCUUGCAAAUACAAGGGAGGAAAAGAAGCAUUUGAUAUAUUUACAGCCCUUAUACAGGGUAUGUUUGAUAUGGAUCAGAAGUACACCAAGAUUCACAUUUGUCUGAAGCAUAGACGACGGAAGUUACAGUCCAAGAGUUUGAUAUUUUAUUUCUGUGAAACAAACCCUUUAUUAUCACUAACCCUUGGUUUGUGCACUUGUGUCCUGUGUUGACACUCACUGUGAUGGGAAAGAAUGAAGCAGAAAAAUGAUGCAACUCAUUUAAAGAAGGCUUGGCAGUGCCAGACACAGAAACUAGAUCUGAUACCCAAGCCACUGCCUUAACUUUGCUGUCAUUGCCCUUUCAACUUCAUGCUAUGCAAUAAGCAUUCAAGCUGCGUACACAUACAAAGAAAAUCUUCACUUGCUUUUAAAAAAAAGAUGCCUAAACUAAUAGGUUCAUAGCUGGACACCAAGUGUGCCAAAUAUUCAGGACAUCUUUAUGCAUGAAAUUUUAUGACAGCAGUGCAUCGUUUGACUUUUUUUUUCCUUUUUUAAUAAGAACUUCUAUUUAGGUAUGCUAUGUAGAAGUAUUGCAGAAAAGAAAAAUGUUUUGUGAAAAGAAAAAUAAACUGCU
ensembl:lncRNA